rnacentral:rRNA from 1 species
UACAGAGGUCCCAAGCGUUGUUCGGAUUCACUGGGCGUAAAGGGUGCGUAGGCGGUCGGGUAAGUCUGAUGUGAAAUCUCACAGCUUAACUGUGAAACUGCAUUGGAUACUAUCCGGCUAGAGGAAUGGAGGGGAGACUGGAAUACUUGGUGUAGCAGUGAAAUGCGUAGAUAUCAAGUGGAACCCCAGUGGCGAAGGCGAGUCUCUGGACAUUUCCUGACGCUGAGGCACGAAAGCCAGGGGAGCAAACGGG